rnacentral:rRNA from 1 species
UACAGAGGUCUCAAGCGUUGUUCGGAUUCAUUGGGCGUAAAGGGUGCGUAGGUGGCGUCGUAAGUCAGGUGUGAAAUCUCGGGGCUCAACCCCGAAACUGCACUUGAUACUGCGAUGCUCGAGUACUGGAGAGGAGAUUGGAAUUUACGGUGUAGCAGUGAAAUGCGUAGAUAUCGUAAGGAAGACCAGUGGCGAAGGCGAAUCUCUGGACAGUUACUGACACUGAGCACGAAGGCCAGGGGAGCAAACGGG